UCAUUGUGGUUCUGUAUUCUCCUAUCCAACACAGGUGAAAUCCAGAAGGCUAACAUUUAUAAAACUGGGCCUAGAAGACCCAGUAUUACCUGUGAAGCAAUGCAUGUCUCUGACAGACCCUGGGAUCGAACCUGUCUAUAGACUCCCACGCUAGAACGUUCCGCUGAAAGUUAAAACAUGUUGACAGCGCUCUUGUCAACCUCUCUGGAUGGGGAAAUGAAAGAGGAACAGUUUGGCUCAUAGGCAUGAACAUAUACUGGGCUGAGAUUGUCCCCUCCCACUUCCCUGUAAAGACCCAUCUCUAGUAGCCAUAGUGACCCUGAGUUAGGUAUAGGAGUUCUAGCCAAGAGGAAACAGGAAUGCAGAACAUAAACUGUGUCAGGUCAGGUUAACUAAGUCAGGCUUAAGGUUAAUGUUAAUUCAAAUUGAAAUUAGUCAGACUUAAAGGUGUGUGUUGAAAUCGAGGGAGAGUUGGGUCUCCUUAGUCUUGAGGAGAUCUCUUUUAGAGUAGGAGGUGUAGCCUAGAAAACCCCUCUAAAAAGACAGGUGGAAAUAAGGGUGGGGGGGGGCUAGAGAGGAGGAGGUCAGGGUCCCAGGAAGGGAGAGAAAGGGGGAGGGAAGAGAGGAGGAGGUCAGGGUCCCAGGAAGGGACAGAGAGGGGGAGGGAGGAGAGGAGGAGGUCAGGGUCCCAGGAAGGGAGAGAGAGGGAAGAGAGGAGGAGGUCAGGGUCCCAGGAAGGGAGAGAGAGGGAAGAGAGGAGGAGGUCAGGGUCCCAGGAUGAGACAGAGAGGGACAUUUAAUUUCACUAAAACAUUUGUCAACAUUCUCAUCUUAGUAAAUGAACAUCGCUCUUACAUAAAGAGCUUACAGUUUUCCACAACAAUAUCACCACUACAAUCACCUUCAUUACAAUCUCUUAACAGUAAAACCUCCUUUGGUCAACACUGUACUGGUAUAAAGUAGUGUACUAUAUAGGGAAUAGGGUGUCAUCUCUCCAUAGGGUCCUGGUCUAAAGUAGUGUACUAUAUAGGGAAUAGGGUGUCAUCUCUCCAUAGGGUCCUGGUCUAAAGUAGUGUACUAUAUAGGGAAUAGGGUGUCAUCUCUCCAUAGGGUCCUGGUAUAAAGUAGUGUACUAUAUAGGGAAUAGGGUGUCAUCUCUCCAUAGGGUCCUGGUCUAAAGUAGUGUACUAUAUAGGGAAUAGGGUGUCAUCUCUCCAUAGGGGCCUGGUAUAAAGUAGUGUACUAUAUAGGGAAUAGAGUGUCAUCUCUCCAUAGGGUCCUGGUAUAAAGUAGUGUACUAUAUAGGGAAUAGGGUGUCAUCUCUCCAUAUAGUCCUGGUAUAAAGUAGUGUACUAUAUAGGGAAUAGGGUGUUAUCUGUUGGUUGACAUUAACUUAAUAGAAUCUAGCAGAAACCAUCAUGUUGUUAGGUCGUCAUGUUCUGACCGUCAUGUUGUUAGGUCGUCAUGUUCUGACCGUCAUGUUGUUAGGUCGUCAUGUUCUGACCGUCAUGUUGUUAGGUCGUCAUGUUCUGACCGUCAUGUUGUUAGGUCAUCAUGUUCUGACCGUCAUGUUGUUAGGUCGUCAUGUUCUGACCGUCAUGUUGUUAGGUCGUCAUGUUCUGACCGUCAUGUUUUUAUGUCGUCAUGUUCUGACCAUCAUGUUUUUAUGUCGUCAUGUUCUGACCGUCAUGUUGUUAGGUCAUCAUGUUCUGACCAUCAUGUUGUUAGGUCAUCAUGUUCUGAC
ensembl:lncRNA